rnacentral:other from 1 species
GUUCCUCUGCCCUGAGCGAGCGAUUUUGCUGUUUCCCGAGCCGAUACGUGCCGACAGGGAACUGCCUACUUGGGUUGUGUGUAACCACUCUUGUGGUAAACCUAAUGCUCAGGUGAAGUGCCCACCUCGUAAUGAGGGUUCGGUUAGGCACUAUCACAUCGUCAGGGCGGGGGAUUU